UCCGAGUUGUCCCCGGCAGUCCUCUUAGAGUAGGCAACUAAGGACAAGGGUUGCGCUCGUUGCGGGACUUAACCCAACACCUCACGGCACGAGCUGACGACAGCCAUGCAGCAUCUGUGCACGCUCCCUCGCGGGUCCCUUCCCUUUCGGGUUGGUACCACGUGCAUGUCAAGCCGAGGUAAGGUUCUGCGCGUUGCAUCGAAUUAAACCACACGCUCCGCUGCUUGUGCGGGCCCCCGUCAAUUCCUUUGAGGUUUAGCCUUGCGGCCGUAGUCCCCAGGCGGCGGACUUAAUGCGUUAGCUGCGGCGCCGAGGGGGUCGAUACCCCCGACACCUAGUCCGCAUCGUUUACGGCGUGGACUAC
rnacentral:misc_RNA from 1 species